rnacentral:rRNA from 1 species
AUUGAACGCUGGCGGCAUGCCUUACACAUGCAAGUCGAACGGCAGCACGGGAGCAAUCCUGGUGGCGAGUGGCGAACGGGUGAGUAAUAUAUCGGAACGUGCCCAGUCGUGGGGAUAACGCAGCGAAAGCUGUGCUAAUACCGCAUACGAUCUACGGAUGAAAGCGGGGGAUCGCAAGACCUCGCGCGAUUGGAGCGGCCGAUAUCAGAUUAGCUAGUUGGUGAGGUAAAGGCUCACCAAGGCGACGAUCUGUAGCUGGUCUGAGAGGACGACCAGCCACACUGGAACUGAGACACGGUCCAGACUCCUACGGGAGGCAGCAGUGGGGAAUUUUGGACAAUGGGCGCAAGCCUGAUCCAGCAAUGCCGCGUGCAGGAUGAAGGCC